rnacentral:rRNA from 1 species
GCUUGUCUCAAAGAUUAAGCCAUGCAUGUCUAAGUGUAAAUAAGUCUAUACUGUGAAACUGCGAAUGGCUCAUUAAAUCAGUUAUCGUUUAUUUGAUGAUCUCUUACUACUUGGAUAACCGUAGUAAUUCUAGAGCUAAUACAUGCACAAAAUCCCGACUUACGAAGGGAUGUAUUUAUUAGAUUUAAAGCCGACAUCUUUUGGUGAUUCAUAAUAACUUUUCGAACCUCAUGCCUUUAUGGUGGAGGUGAUUCAUUCAAAUUUCUGCCCUAUCAAUUGGCGAUGGUAGGAUAGAGGCCUACCAUGGUGUUAACGGGUGACGGGGGAUUAGGGUUCGAUUCCGGAGAGGCAGCCUGAGAAACGGCUACCACAUCCAAGGAAGGCAGCAGG